GUCCAGACUCCUACGGGAGGCAGCAGUGGGGAAUAUUGCACAAUGGGGGAAACCCUGAUGCAGCGACGCCGCGUGAGUGAAGAAGUAUUUCGGUAUGUAAAGCUCUAUCAACAGGGAAGAUAAUGACGGUACCUGAGUAAGAAGCCCCGGCUAACUACGUGCCAGCAGCCGCGGUAAUACGUAGGGGGCAAGCGUUAUCCGGAUUUACUGGGUGUAAAGGGGGCGUAGACGGCAUGGCAAGUCUGAAGUGAAAGGCGGGGGCCCAACCCCCGGACUGCUCUGGAAACUGUAUGGCUGGAGUGCAGGAGAGGUAAGCGGAAUUCCUAGUGUAGCGGUGAAAUGCGUAGAUAUUAGGAGGAACACCAGUGGCGAAGGCGGCUUACUGGACUGUAACUGACGUUGAGGCUCGAAAGCGUGGGGAGCAAACAGGAUUAGAUACCCCGGUAGGC
rnacentral:rRNA from 1 species